rnacentral:rRNA from 1 species
UACGAAGGGGGCUAGCGUUGCUCGGAAUGACUGGGCGUAAAGGGUGCGUAGGCGGUGCGGUAAGUCUGUUGUGAAAUCUCCGGGCUCAACUCGGAGUCUGCAUCAGAAACUGCCGUGCUGGAGUGUGGGAGAGGUGAGUGGAAUUCCCGGUGUAGCGGUGAAAUGCGUAGAGAUCGGGAGGAACACCUGCGGCGAAAGCGGCUCACUGGACCAUAACUGACGCUGAUGCACGAAAGCUAGGGGAGCAAACAGG